rnacentral:rRNA from 2 species
UAGGACUCUCGGCAAUGGAUAUCUUGGCUCUCGCAUCGAUGAAGAGCGCAGCGAAAUGCGAUAUGUGGUGUGAAUUGCAGAAUCCCGUGAACCAUCGAGUUUUUGAACGCAAGUUGCGCCUGAGGCCAACUGGCCAAGGGCACGUCCGCCUGGGCGUCAAGC